CGAUGCAACGACGAAGAACCUUUACCUGGUCUUGACAUCCCGGAGACCCUUAGGAAACUAGGGGUGCUUCCAUCUGGAAGAAUCUGGUAGACAGGUGCUGCAUGGCUGUCGUCAGCUCGUGUCGUGAGAUGUUGGGUUAAGUCCCACAACGAGCGCAACCCUUGCCUUUAGUUGCCAGCAGUUCGGCUGGGCACUCUAAAGGGACUGCCGGUGUUAAACCGGAGGAAGGUGGGGAUGGCGUCAAGUCCUCAUGGCCUUUAUGACCAGGGCUGCACACGUACUACAAUGGCCGAUACAAAGGGCAGCGACACUGCGAGGUGAAGCCAAUCCCGUAAAAUCGGUCUCAGUCCGGAUUGGAGUCUGCAACUCGACUCCAUGAAGUUGGAAUCGCUAGUAAUCGUGGAUCAGCAUGCCACGGUGAAUACGUUCCCGGGCCUU
rnacentral:rRNA from 1 species